rnacentral:snoRNA from 1 species
AUGGACCUAAGGAUACUUUCCCCAAAUUAUCGACUAUGACUAUACAAUGCGCAAAUGUAAUCCCAU